rnacentral:rRNA from 1 species
UGGGUGAGUAACGCGUGGGUAACCUGCCCCUAAGUCUGGGAUACCAUUUGGAAACAGAUGCUAAUACCGGAUAAAAGCUACUUUCGCAUGAAAGAAGUUUAAAAGGCGGCGUAAGCUGUCGCUAAAGGAUGGACCUGCGAUGAAUUAGCUAGUUGGUAAGGUAACGGCUUACCAAGGCGAUGAUGCAUAGCCGAGUUGAGAGACUGAUCGGCCACAUUGGGACUGAGACACGGCCCAAACUCCUACGGGAGGCAGCAGGC